rnacentral:rRNA from 1 species
UGCAAGUCGAGCGGUAGAGUGACUUCGGUUGCUUGAGAGCGGCGCACGGGUGAGUAACGCGUACAUGACCUACCUUCAAGACCGGAAUAGCCCUGGGAAACUGGGAUUAAUACCGGAUGUGAUAAUAAGUAUAGAGAUUUAUUAUUAAAGUUACGGCGCUUGGAGAUGGGUGUGCGUCUGAUUAGCUAGUUGGUGAGGUAACGGCUCACCAAGGCGACGAUCAGUAGGGGGCGUGAGAGCGUGACCCCCCACACGGGUACUGAGACACGGACCCGACUCCUACGGGAGGCAGCAGUAAGGAAUAUUGGUCAAUGGGCGAAAGCCUGAACCAGCCAUCCCGCGUGCAGGAUGAAGGUCCUAUGGAUUGUAAACUGCUUUUAUCAGGGAAGAAACGCCUUCAUUCAUGGGGGUCUGAGGGGGGCUGAGGAAUAAGCACCGGCUAACUCCGUGCCAGCAGCCGCGGUAAUACGGAGGGUGCGAGCGUUAUCCGGAAUCACUGGGUUUAAAGGGUGCGUAGGCGGGGAAUUAAGUCAGUGGUGAAAGCCUGUCGCUUAACGAUAGAAUUGCCAUUGAUACUGAUUUUCUUGAAUUGGGUUGAGGUUAGCGGAAUGUGACAUGUAGCGGUGAAAUGCAUAGAUAUGUCAUGGAACACCAAUUGCGAAGGCAGCUAGCUGGGCCUUGAUUGACGCUGAGGCACGAA